GAACGAGAAAGUGGAGCAAUCCAUGAGUAAAGUGGCGACCGGNGUGAGUAACACGUGACUAACCUACCUUCGAGUGGGGAAUAACCUCGGGAAACCGGGGCUAAUACCGCAUAAUGUCUUCGGACCAAAGGAGCAAUUCGCUGGAAGAGGGGGUCGCGGCCGAUUAGCUAGUUGGCGGGGUAACGGCCCACCAAGGCCAUGAUCGGUAGCCGGCCUGAGAGGGCGCACGGCCACACUGGAACUGAAACACGGUCCAUACUCCUACGGGAGGCAGCAGUGGGGAAUUUUGCGCAAUGGGGGAAACCCUGACGCAGCAACGCCGCGUGGAGGAUGAAGCCCCUUGGGGUGUAAACCCCUUUCGAUCGGGACGAUAAUGACGGUACCGGAUGAAGAAGCACCGGCUAACUCUGUG
rnacentral:rRNA from 1 species